AUCAAUACGUUUUAAGUGAAUAACUACUUAUUCUAAUCGAAUACAAUAUGUAAAAAUAAUUACAUUUUAUUAUUUAAACUUAAACUUUAGCCAAAUGAAACAACAUGUCAUUUGCAACUAAUUUCACAUUUUCGUAAAAACCCUCUUUUUCUCAUAAGUUCGUAAAACUACAGCUAGGGGUGCUAUAAUUAAAAAGAAAACUUUCCAAUUUUCUAAGUUAAUUAGCUCCGGCUCUAUAGCACGGAUCGGGCUGAAAUUUUGGUAGAGGGAGCGGAUUGAGCUAAAAAUUCUUCAUGAAUCUCUCUUAAACAUGCCUAAGAAACUUACUUAUGUUAUAAAGAAUAAGGUAAAUACCAAUUAUUAAAGCAUUCUUAUUGAUUAGGUUUUUUAAAUUUUCAUUUUAAAAAAAUUGAAUGAAUUUCGCUCUAAAUCAUCCAAAAAUUUAAUAUUUGGCUGGCGUACACGCACGAACGCAAAUGCACGAGGGUCAGUGUAUUGUGUUCUUCAAAUGACGUGAUUUGCAUAAAAUAAAUAAUAUUACUUUCUAUAUGCAUUGAUUAUAACAAUUAAUAAUUUGAAUGAAAUUUAUAUUUAUUUAGAAUGAAAAACCAAUCAAAUCUAAUACUAUUUUUUGAAUCAAUAGCAUAAGUAUUUGAAAAAAAGGAAACUACAUUCAGAUCUAUGACUGAUUCCAUCAGUACGGAAAACAUUAAAACGAGUCAGUCUUGAAGAAGCCGCUGAGUUGAAAAGUUGUCACACAAAUUAUUUCCAAUCUAUUUGAAAAUGAAAAAAAAACUAAAAAAUGGUUACAGUGGAUAAGUAAACUUAUAAAGUUGCAAAAAUCAUCAAGUGAUCGACAAAGAAAUUUGAUAAAGUGUUGGAAAUCGUUAGAUUGGUUCAAUCGAUCAUCCUGAUUGCAAGUCAUUGUUGAUUGGAAACGUCCGUGAGCAGAAGCUGGAAAAUUAUCACCAUAUCUGUUUUAUCGAACUACUUUUCUUCAAAAAUUCCAUCUAGGAGAGACCUAAAUAGUAUCAAGGUAAGAAAAUUGAUUUUUUUUGUAAUGCAAUAAGAAUUACAUAAUUUGUGAAAGUUAGCAUUGAUCUUUACAAAGAAAUAUUGGACCUCGCAUAAUUUUUUUAUUAUAAAAAUGUUAAUUAUAUCAACUUAUUUAUGUUGAAUAUGUAUUUUCAAUUAUCGCUUUGGAAAAUAUCAUACUGGAAAAGUUUUUAAUUUCAUUUUUAUUUUUAUUCUUUCUUUUAUCAAUCGUGGUAACCGUUGAACCGUUCACUGGGAAAAGGACAAUCAUUGUCUUUUCCAUGGAAUUGGAAAAGUGAUUCGCAGAUAGCAGCAGAACUCAGAGCAAACAGUAAAGGACGUAAAUCUGCAAAACACAACUUAGAAAAGUGAGCGCUGUAAUAAAAGUAGACGAGGAGCACUACCACUGAUCAAAUUUCAUUAUGUCAUCGUUUAUCUUUACGGGGCAAAAGACAAUCAGUCUUUUGAAGUAUCUUAUUUCUUCUGAAACUGGUAAACACUAUUGGGAGAAAGCAGAAGAGCAUACAUCCAAAAGCUGAGAAGAAGACUUCACGAAACUACUAGAAAGUCGUGCAACACCCCAUAGAAAUUAAUGUAAUACAAUUUUAUUGUGAAUACACAUUAUUUAUGUCAAAUAAAUUUAUUUUUGAAAUCAUAGCAAGAGUUUUUUAAAUAUACCCUGGUACUGUUAUAUCUACCCGAGGAUAUUAUUUGAAUUAAUGUGGACGAAUAUCAAAGCAAACAUAUUUGCCAUUGAAUCUAUGGUAAAGAACAUUUAAAUAUACCAAGGAAAUUUUUAAUUUUACCCAUUGUGUAUUUAAAUUAAUGGUAACUCGUAGUUAAAACAAAUAUUUCUACUAUUGAAACUAUGGUAGUGUUACCCAGAAAUUUUUGAUUCUACCCAUGAAAGUGUUUAAAAUCCACUUUAGAAAUAAAGUGCAAAUGUAUUUGAUUUAAAAGACAUGUUUUCUUUUCAAAUACAGUGCCAUUCAAAAUAAAUACAAAUAUAUUUGUUGUGGCUAUGAUUACUGCCUUUCAGAUCAAAUGUAAAAAUAUUUGAAGUAAAAGUCGUCUGUAUUCAAAUCAAAUAAAACAUUAGAAACAAAUGUAUUCUACCAUUGGGGCCAAAAUACCCAUAAUUUCAUUUGAUUUUACCCAGAAAAACAUUAAUACUACCCAUAAAA